UACGUGGGGGGCAAGCGUUGUCCGGAUUUAUUGGGCGUAAAGCGCGUGUAGGCGGCCAGGUAGGUCCGCUGUGAAAACCCGAGGCUCAACCUCGGGACGUCGGCGGAAACCAUCUGGCUAGAGUCCGGAAGAGGAGAGUGGAAUUCCCGGUGUAGCGGUGAAAUGCGCAGAUAUCGGGAAGAACACCCGUGGCGAAGGCGGUUCUCUGGGACGGUACUGACGCUGAGACGCGAAAGCGUGGGGAGCGAACAGG
rnacentral:rRNA from 1 species